CCUACGGGUGGCAGCAGUGAGGAAUCUUUGUCAAUGGGCGCGAGCCUGAACCAGCCAAGUAGCGUGAAGGAUGACUGCCCUACGGGUUGUAAACUUCUUUUAUCAAGUAAUAAAGUGAGGCACGUGUGCCUUUUUGUAUGUACUUUAUGAAUAAGCAUCGACUAACUCCGUGCCAGCAGCCGCGGUAAUACGGAGGCUCCGAUCGUUAUCCGGAUUUAUUGGGUUUAAAGGGAGCGUAGAUGGGUUUUUAAGUCAGGUGUGAAAGUGUGCGGCUCAAACGUAAAAUUGCAAUUGAUACUGGCAGUCUUGAGUACAGUUGAGGUAGGCGGAAUGCGUGGUGUAGCGGUGAAAUGCUUAGAUAUCACGAAGAACUCCGAUUGCGAAGGCAGCUUACUAAACUGCCACUGACAUUGAUGCUCGAAAGUGUGGGUAUCAAACAGGAUUAGAUACCCGUGUAGUC
rnacentral:rRNA from 1 species